rnacentral:rRNA from 2 species
AGUCAAUGCUCGCAAGAGUGAACUAGCUAACUGAAAUCACAAAAUAACUUAAUUGUGCUUAUUGUGAUAACGUAAGGGAAAAAAAAUGAUAUUACCUUACUAUAAGUGUUGUCUAAAUUACUGGUGCCAGAAGACUCGGUAACACCAGAAACGCGAACGUUAGUCGUCUUAAACAGGCGUAAAGAGUGAGUAGGCUGCUUUAAAAUUUCUAAAUUAAGCUAAGCCAUAUAAAUUAACAGAAAAUAAUUAAAAUAAUAAAGACCAAAAAAUAAUCUGUAAUUUUAUAUUAUAUUUAAUUUAGGGAAAAUAAAAGCUAGAAUCUUAUUGAGGAUAAACCAAAUAAUACUUAAGUGUAGGGAUGAUAUCCUUAGAUACUAAGUGGAAUACUAAUGGUGAAGACUUUUUAUCUACUAAAGAUUGACGCUGAGGAACGAAAGUGAGAAUAGGGAAUAGGAUUAGAUACCCAGUUACCUCUCACCGUCAACGAUGAAUGGUAGUUGUUAGUUUAAUAAAAUUGAUAACGAUGUUAACGCGAUAACCAUUCCGCCUUGAGAGUACGGUUGCAAAACUGAAACCAAAAAAAUUAGUCGGUCUCGGAGCAAACGAAGUGAAGCAUGUUAU